UUUUAUUUGAGAGUUUGAUCCUGGCUCAGGAUGAACGCUGGCGGCGUGCCUAACACAUGCAAGUUGAGCGAUUUACUUCGGUAAAGAGCGGCGGACGGGUGAGUAACGCGUGGGUAACCUACCCUGUACACACGGAUAACAUACCGAAAGGUAUGCUAAUACGGGAUAAUAUAUUUGAGAGGCAUCUCUUGAAUAUCAAAGGUGAGCCA
rnacentral:rRNA from 1 species